rnacentral:lncRNA from 1 species
CACGGUUACGUGUCAUCUCUCAUUGUGCAAAAAUAUCAUUUAUCUUUUUUCCCCUGAUCUUGCAGACUUUUUCCCCGGAUUCUUUAAACUUUUGAAAGCAACUUUUACUUAUCCUAAUGAAUGCGUCUCUUCAUCUUCUAACUUAUUUCUUCCAAUUAUCUAUUCCAUUCUUCUUCAGUCACAACGCCUCCCUCUCACACCACUUUUACAACUCCUAAUGAACAAGAAUUUCUCAUCUGGCGGAGGUAUUAGGGUAUGGAUUAAUCCCCUAGACAGAGGAUAAAGAACAUGGAUUGCUUUCUCCACGGAGGAUUAGGGCUUCAUCCCCAAUAAGGAUUACACAGCGCAAGGUAAAUCUCCUCUUUCUACUUAUACCAUUUUUCGGUAUUCAUAUUCUACGUUCUCCAUUCUUUCUUUAUUUCAGGUAACUUGUACCAACCAAAUUUACAUUUCUUGGUUAUUUUUUUGGCCCAUUUUUGCGAGAUUCCUUUAAUCUUGAAUGGAAUAAACAUAAAUUACAUUCUUUGCACAUGGAAGAUUUGAAAAUUGACAGUAAUUAAUUUUCUUCAGCUAUUGAACGAGCAGAGAACGAGAUUAUAAGGAGCGCACCCAAUUGAAGAUGAACAAUAUGUGGAGCAUAUGUUACCAUCUUUUGCAUUGUUUUUCGGGGAAAAUGAUGUAUACUUUACUUUGUCUUCCCUCUUUACUUUGUUACAUUAUCAGACUAUUUGUGCAUAUAUAUGUAAGGAUGCAUUAAGGAUGCAUUAAGGAUGCUCUAUCUAUUUUUAAAAUAUGUCGCGAAUCUUCUAACCUCUCUGUGAUCUUAGGCGAGACCAUGCAUCCUUUCAUAUAAAGGGGACACGUAAUGUCUGACACGGCAGAGGAAAUCUAUAGAGAAGAAGCAAUCUCCGGUUAUGGGAAAUAUUGGCUGGUACAAAUUCUUCUUGUUUGUCGGUGGUUAAUUCCAUGCGUCUCUGUAUUAAAUCCUUUUUUCCCUUUUUUUUUUUACGUUAGUUUUUGGCAGUGUACGACUACAAGUCUCCCAGCUUGGGAAUUUGGAUGAAACUGUUUAAUCUUCUUUUUCUAUUCCAUUUGGAUGUUAUCGUGUUUGUCUAGAAAGCGUGAUUAGUGGCAUGUAUGAGGUCAAGGAUAGGGAUUCGGGCGAAACUUUGUAUCCUCUCCUUCUUCCUUUCCAUUUAGCUUUCACAGUAUUUUUCUUGAGAGUCUGAUUUACGUUUAAGAGAAAAAGACUUAAAAAUAAAAAACUGUGACAACGAAGUUACUUUGUUUGAUUGUUUACAAGAAAGAAUCACCAGUUAAGAAUAAUCUUCCUCUUUACCUUCUGUUCUUCGAGCCAAAAAUUCAAAUAGUAACUAAUUGUAGCAAAGUUGGAUGAAGAAAGAAAAUUGAAAAAAAUAGAUGAAGUGGAAGGGAAAAAGAAAGAAGGAGACAGAGUGCCAGGAGGAUGUGAGAGGUAGUGGGUGAAAAAGAUUCAGAGAGGUUCCAAAGAUAAUAGAUGAUUAUACUUAAAAAGUGUAGAGUCGUAGGUUUUUUACGAUUGUCAGAAGCAAUAUAUAAGCCUUAAUAGAAAGGUCGCAAAAUACAUUAUUCAAUCAGUUUCAUAAAACAUCUCACCACCAUCAAAUAGCAUAUCAUCUUAUUGGCUUUGCUAUGUACAUGUUUUUGUUCUCAUCUCUGUCUUUCAACAUUUUGUUCUAAUUUAUAUUCUAGCUGCAUUAGUUAGAAUAUACCAACUCAUUUAGUAUGACUUUUCUUAAUUGAAUGUUCCUAUCUAAUUUUCCUCAUGAGGCUAUAUAAUCAAGAUUUUUUUUACAUUUUAGAUUGAAAAGGAACUACUGAAUUUGGUUAGUGCAUUGGGUAUAAUCAAUUGCUCAACAAGCAUCAAUUUACUUUUCAGUUCUAUCCAUUAUUUUUCCAUAGUCUGGAUAUGGAUGAAUUCAUUGGUCGAGUGACUAUUAAAGAUAAAUGUUCAACUCCUUUACCUAAUCGGCAUAGUUAAGAAGUAGCUUAUAUACAGUUAUAUCUCUUUGAAUUUUCAAGAUUCUGGCCUAAUAACUAAGGACUCUAUUGCUUUUGGGAAUUUGGUUAUAUCUGUUAGCUAUUUUGGGGACUUUGUUUAUAUUGGAGUUUGGUUAUAUAUAGUAGAAUUACUUUUGUUUUGAGAUACUUUGAAGUGCUGCUGCUAGAAGAGCAGUACACAGUGCUCCACUUAUUAAUGCUGGAGAUUGUCCUGGACAAUCAAGCCUAGUUUUGAAUCUAUUUAAAAUAAUUUUAUUUCUGAGACUUGAGACUGAAUAAGUUUGCUUGCCUUUUUAUCCUAGCAUAAUUUUAGUACUUUAAUCUGGUGGUUAUACACUAAAGAAAGUUUAUCAAUAUGUGAGGACUGAUUGAUUCGUUAAAUAGGUGGGUGUUGCAGACUUUCGCCGGCUGAAUUUUGAGGCUUUAUUAAGAAGAUGGAAGUCCUGGUUGUUGCUGAAUUGAGCAACCAAUCAAGCGGGCACAACUGAAGCAAAGAAGGAGAAGGAAAUAGUGGUUGAAGCCGAAGCUGAGAAUGACGAGAAACCGGCACCAUAAAAGUUGUUGUUCCUCCUAAAACAGAAGUUAAGAAUAGUAAAGCCAUAUUAGUCAAAGUGGAAGAACACCAACAACAGAAACAGAAGCACAAAAUAUUUGAUAUGACAGUUAAAAGACAAAUUUUACCCUUCAUUAUUCAUAUGUAAAAAUUUUCUUAUCAUCAUUUUCUUUUCCCCUGUCCUAUUUCAAUUUUUACAGGAAGACAAUUUUUACUCUUCAUUAUUGUUCUCUCUUUCUUCCCUCCCUAUCCCUUUUUAAGUUUGUGCAUAAAUUCUCAAACCGUUAUUUCCUUUUUGAUUCCUU